UACGGGGGGGGCAAGCGUUGUUCGGAAUUACUGGGCGUAAAGGGCGCGUAGGCGGUGCUCUAAGUCGGAUGUGAAAGCCCUCGGCUUAACCGAGGAACGACGCAUGAUACUGGCAAGCUAGAGUACCAAAGAGGGGGGUGGAAUUCCCGGUGUAGCGGUGAAAUGCGCAGAUAUCAGGAGGAACACCAAUUGCGAAGGCAGCUCGCUGGGACGUUACUGACGCUGAGACGCGAAAGCGUGGGGAGCAAACAGG
rnacentral:rRNA from 1 species